rnacentral:rRNA from 1 species
UGUGCCAGCAGCCGCGGUAAUACGUAGGUGGCAAGCGUUAUCCGGAAUUAUUGGGCGUAAAGCGCGCGUAGGCGGUUUUUUAAGUCUGAUGUGAAAGCCCACGGCUCAACCGUGGGGGGUCAUUGGAAACUGGAAAACUUGAGUGCAGAAGAGGAAAGUGGAAUUCCAUGUGUAGCGGUGAAAUGCGCAGAGAUAUGGAGGAACACCAGUGGCGAAGGCGACUUUCUGGUCUGUAACUGACGCUGAUGUGCGAAAGCGUGGGGAUCAAACAGGAUUAGAUACCCUGGUAGUCCACGCCGUAAACGAUGAGUGCUAAGUGUUAGGGGGUUUCCGCCCUUUAGUGCUGCAGCUAACGCAUUAAGC